rnacentral:rRNA from 1 species
UGUUGAAGAUUAAGCCAUGCAUGUGUAAGUAUAAAGACCUAGUAGGAUGAAACUGCGGACGGCUCAUUACAACAGUUAUAGUUUCUUUGGUUAGUAUCAAAAGGAUAACUCUGUUAAUUGUAGAGCUAAUACUUGAGACAUUCCACUUUCUUUCGAGACUGUGGCGGCCGUACCCCGGUGCGGUUAUGAAUUAUUCCAUUCUGAAUGCUGGAAUAAGGACAAUUGUAGAAUCCCGAGGAUUUUUCAAGUAACCAAUGAGAAUUUCUGACUUAUCAACCUGUAGGUAAGGUAGUGGCUUACCUUGGUGAUCACGAGUAACGAGAAAUAAGGGUUUGACAUCGGAGAGGGAGCCUUCAAAAUGGCUACCACUUCCAAGGAAGGCAGCAGGCGCGAAAAUUACCCACUUGGGACUCCCAGAGGUAGUGAAGACAAAUAACUAAACUCUGUCCUAUGGAUAGAGUUUAAGGGAUGAGCUAGACGUUAACACUCUAGCGAAAGCGAUUGGAGGGCAAGUCUGGUGCCAGCAGCCGCGGUAAUUCCAGCUCCAAUAGUGUAUAUUAAAGUUGUUGUGAUUAAAAAGCUCGUAGUUGAAUUUGACCAGGACUUAGGCUCUUCCGCUCUGCACGCAGAGAGGAGGAGGCCUUCACUAGUCCUAAACACGCUGCACUUUGCCUCUUCGGAGGCGGGUGGAGAUAUUUACUUUGAAUAAAUAUGAGUGUUUAAAGCAAAGCAUUAGCUAAUUAAAUAUGAAGCAUGGGAUAAUAGAGAGGAGAUACUUACUUGCGCGCACUAUGUGUUACGGUGGUAUUUCUAGAUAAGGAUUAAUAGAAAGAGAUGGGGUGAUUUAUACGGAAAUGGGAGAGGUGAAAAUCCAUGAUCAUUUUAGGAUAAACUGAAGCGAAAGCAUUUCACUUAAAUCUUUUCAUUAAUCAAGAACGAAAGUUAGGGGAUCGAAGACGAUUAGAUACCGUCGUAGUCCUAACUAUAAACGAUGUCAACGAAGGAUUGGAUUGAACCAACGCCAGUGGUUGCAGAACCAACUGGCACUAUACUUCAGUUCAGGACUUGUGGGGAAACCUAUAGUUAAUGGACUUCAGGGGGAGUAUGCUCGCAAGGGUGAAACUUAAAGGAAUUGACGGAAGGGCACACCAGGAGUGGAGCCUGCGGCUUAAUCUGACUCAACACGGAGAAAUUUACCAGGUCCAGACAUUAGAAGGAUUGACAGAUUGAUAGCUCUUUCUUGAUUUAUUGGGUGGUGGUGCAUGGCCGUUCUUAGUUGGUGGAGUGAUUUGUCUGGUUAAUUCCGAUAACGAACGAGACCUUAACCUACUAACUAGACCGCGGAGUUACUCUCCACGGGACUUCUUAGAGGGACUGUCUGGCUAAACCUCAAGGAAGUUUAAGGCAAUAACAGGUCUGUGAUGCCCUUAGAUGUCCUGGGCUGCACGCGUGCUACACUGAUGCAUACAAUAAGUUCCUGGAUCGAAAGAUCUGUGGCAAUCUUUAAUGUGCAUCGUGAUUGGGAUAGAUCUUUGUAAUUAUGGAUCUUUAACGAGGAAUUCCUAGUAAGCGUAAGUCAUCAGCUUACGCUGAUUAAGUCCCUGCCCUUUGUACACACCGCCCGUCGCUCCUACCGAUUCCGAGUGAUUCGGUGAGCAUUUUGGACCUGCCACAAGCGGGAAAAUUCUGCGAACCAAAUCACUUAGAGG